ACUGCCCGUGAUAAGCGGGAGGAAGGUGUGGAUGACGUCAAGUCCUCAUGGCCCUUACGGGUAGGGCUACACACGUGCUACAAUGGCAGUGACAAUGGGUUAAUCCCAAAAAACUGUCUCAGUUCGGAUUGUCGUCUGCAACUCGACGGCAUGAAGUCGGAAUCGCUAGUAAUCGCGUAACAGCAUGACGCGGUGAAUACGUUCCCGGGCC
rnacentral:rRNA from 14 species